CCUGACCACAUUGGCCUUGUUUAUUCAGUGAUAUUCACGUGCCCGUGUUGCUGUCGAAUGAUCUGCUGCGCGGUUUCGAUGCUGUCGUCGCUUUCUUGUCGUUCAUGGGAGGCCAGCUGCGAACAGGUGAAAGACCGAAAAAGAGGGGAGUUGCACCAGUUGCGCUCAGUACGACGAGUGAUCUGACAGUCGUCAGUCGUCAUGCUCGGCGUGUGCGCGCGGUCUGCUGGUAGCUUAACCGCAGCAGUGUUCGGCAAGGAGUUUUUACCUCUUUCUUGGCCGCUGGUAAGAUGCAGAAAUCUGCAAUCGGCAGCACCGCAGGAACUCAUUCAGCCUGCAAACAGCCAUGAUGAACCUCCGAAAGUCCUUACUGAUUCCUUUGGUCGGAAGCAUUCCUACCUUCGGAUUUCACUUACGGAAAAGUGCAACCUCAGAUGUGUCUACUGCAUGCCGGCAGAAGGCGUGCCAUUGACGCCAAAUGAGAAGCUGCUUUCUUCUGACGAAAUUGUCCAUUUGGCAACUCUCUUUGCCACCUUUGGUGUGAACAAAGUACGCCUCACCGGAGGAGAGCCGUUGGUCCGGAAAGAUACACUGGACAUUGUUGAAAGGCUGUCACAAAUUCCACAGCUGGAAACUUUGGGAAUGACAACCAACGGGCUCGUUUUGUCCCGGAAACUGGCUGAUUUGAAAAAGGCUGGUUUGACGCACCUCAACAUUAGCCUCGACACUAUGGUACCAGCAAAGUUUGAGUUUCUUGCCAGACGCAAGGGGUGGCAGGUUGUGCGGAAAAGCAUUGACCAGGCGCUGGAAAUGGGGUUCCAAUCGUUAAAGAUCAACUGCGUUGUGAUGAAAGGCAUCAAUGAAGAUGAACUGGUGGAUUUUGUCCGGCUCACAGAGUCAAACGACCUUGAAAUUCGAUUUAUUGAGUACAUGCCCUUUGAUGGAAACAAGUGGAGUACAAAGAAGCUUGUGAGCUUUGAAGACAUGCUUUCGAUUAUCAAGAAGGAGUUGCCCGAUCUAAAGCGGUGCCAGGAUGAACCAAACCACACAUCAAAGAUUUUCAGAGUACCAGGAUGGAUGGGCCGUGUUGGAUUCAUCACUUCAAUGACCGAGCACUUUUGUGGUACCUGCAACCGCCUUCGGAUAACUGCUGAUGGCAACCUGAAGUAUUUCCCGCAUUGUAUCUCUAUCUGGGCCAGGAUUUUCUUCGACAUCCCCUCUCAUUAAAAGCACGAGUGCUCUCCAGCGACAAUCAGCAAUGGCAACAAGGAGCAGUUUCACGCGCCUUGGGCAAGGCAACAGCAAUAAACAACGGUCAUCUGAGCGGUGUGCCUGUUUGGUAAUCAUGAAGUUUCAUUGCGUGAUGCUUUGCGAAGCAAGGUCUCAUCCGACGAGCUUCUCAGCAUUAUCGGCAG